CGCUUUUUGUUUCGCGUCCCUUUUGGGAGAGCCGAUUCGUUUUAAUAGUGGUGCCGGCUUCUGUUCACCGGGGUAGGCGCGUCCCUCUUUCCGCGCUUGACGGCAAUUCCAGAGAAGCUGCAGCCUUUAUUGUCUUUUUGUUGAGUGGGCUGCACCUGAAAGGCGUUGGACCACACGCGCACCGAUACAAAGCCACGCAUACACGUCUAGGCUGCACCUACAGCGAGUCUUCACUCUCCAUUGUACCAAUGCUGCGAACUAGCCGCUCCUUUCGAUUCCGCAUGAAGUGCGGGUGCAUGUACGUCGACUACAAGAUCAUGUCUCGCAACCAUCGCCGCUCGAUUCGCGUAGAGGAUGCCCUAGUCGACCCCCUCUUGCCCACCACGGUAGUGCCACUGCAUUGGUUGGAGCAGCUUCGGUGCCCAUCAACGCGCCUUCUCACGGGCUACCACACGGAGGAGGCGGUGUAUGCAAAGCCGAACUACGGCGAUCGUGUGAGUCGCACUCCUGCGUUGUUGUCUUCGUCCGAUGCGGCUGCCAAGACGGCAGACAACGGCGCUCACGCCAACGCGAUCCGGGCGGGCCCAGUGGUGCUCUACAUCACUGGACAGAGCAUCCCCGUAGUUUUGAACCCUCUUUUUGUGCAGCCGGAUGAGUGGGGUCUCACUCAAUCGGACGGUGAAUGGGACCUUCGAAUAGGAAUGGAUGCCAUUGAGCAGUGCUCCCUGUACGCCGAGCUCCGUCCGGGUGGGCUGCUGUACUCGAAGCUGCCGCACGCAAGCCUCACAGAGGCGAUGGAACCUGUUCAGGACACUCUCAAGCGCUACGGCAUGAGGUGCGGGUUGGCCGAGUCGCCGCUGGUGCCACGACCGUGGACGCGCAUGCGCUACAUGUUUAUUGACGAGCUGCAGCGUGGACAAAAAAUGACCGAGUUCGUAGGGUACAACCCGCGCAGCGGAACUCAGUGGCGCUUCUCGCAGCACACCAAGUACUUCCGCACAGGCAUCUGGCGCGAGACCAUCCGACGAAACGAGAUGAACGAUGGGCUGCACGCGCACAGCAGCUGGCAAAAGUCGCCGCAGCAGGCGGUUCCGGAGAUCAGCUUUCUCGCACCCUACCCGUAACCGCGGCGAUCUUCGAUGGGAAGGAGUGUUGCGGAUGCGGCCACGGAGCAUGAAACGAUCCGCAGGCAGGGGCAAGUCAAGGAGGCUGAAAAGAGGUGUCGCGCGGGCGCUAUCGAGAAGCGAACGCACCUCUUUUUGGUUGGGCUUUGUUUCUCUGCAUCUCGCCUCUGUGGCGCUGCGCGUCUCGAAGCCCGCCCCCCCCUCGCCGGUGUUUUUGUUCGCUCUUUCGCGUUACCAGUAAUCGGGCUCGUGUAAGCUGCUCGCUGUAGCAACGGCUUACCACCUGCAUGUAUGCGCGUGCGUGCAAUGCUCUCGCACUAACGCACGCGCACGGAAGGCCUCUGCGAAGAAAAGCUGGAAAGACAGAAAGCAAAAAAAAAAGACAGCGAAGUCAGUGCGCGUUAGAAAGAGUGCGUAUGUGUAAAGGUAAGGACUUGUGCUUCACAGCAGGCAGCUAUUCAUGUCAGCGCCUGACGUGUUCAUUACACCCCCCACCGGCACACUUCUCUCUCUUCGUGCUUUUGUUUAUCCGCCUCUGUCUUGUCUUGUUGCUGGUUGUGUGUAUGUGCGUGCAUGUGUAUGGGUGUGCAUCAGUACGUAACGGGCCACAUGCUCUUUAUGCUCUCCCCCUUUCAUUCCAGCGAAG
rnacentral:misc_RNA from 1 species